CCUACGGGGCUGCAGUGGGGAAUAUUGGACAAUGGGCGAAAGCCUGAUCCAGCCAUGCCGCGUGUGUGAAGAAGGCCUUCGGGUUGUAAAGCACUUUCAGUGGGGAAGAAAGCCUUGGGGCUAAUACCCUCGAGGAAGGACAUCACCCACAGAAGAAGCACCGGCUAACUCCGUGCCAGCAGCCGCGGUAAUACGGAGGGUGCGAGCGUUAAUCGGAAUUACUGGGCGUAAAGCGCGCGUAGGCGGUCUGAUAAGCCGGUUGUGAAAGCCCCGGGCUCAACCUGGGAACGGCAUCCGGAACUGUCAGGCUAGAGUGCAGGAGAGGAAGGUAGAAUUCCCGGUGUAGCGGUGAAAUGCGUAGAGAUCGGGAGGAAUACCAGUGGCGAAGGCGGUCUUCUGGACUGACACUGACGCUGAGGUGCGAAAGCGUGGGUAGCAAACAGGAUUAGAUACCCCAGUAGUC
rnacentral:rRNA from 1 species